GUGGGGAAUAUUGGACAAUGGGCGCAAGCCUGAUCCAGCCAUGCCGCGUGAGUGAUGAAGGCCCUAGGGUUGUAAAGCUCUUUCACCGGUGAAGAUAAUGACGGUACCCACAGAAGAAGCCCCGGCUAACUUCGUGCCAGCAGCCGCGGUAAUACGAAGGGGGCUAGCGUUGUUCGGAUUUACUGGGCGUAAAGCGCACGUAGGCGGAUUGUUAAGUCGAGGGUGAAAUCCCAGGGCUCAACCCUGGAACUGCCUUCGAUACUGGCAAUCUUGAGUCCGGAAGAGGUGAGUGGAACUCCUAGUGUAGAGGUGGAAUUCGUAGAUAUUAGGAAGAACACCAGUGGCGAAGGCGGCUCACUGGUCCGGUACUGACGCUGAGGUGCGAAAGCGUGGGGAGCAAACAGGAUUAGAUACCCUAGUAGUCC
rnacentral:rRNA from 1 species